rnacentral:rRNA from 1 species
AUACGGAGGGUGCAAGCGUUGUUCGGAAUCACUGGGCGUAAAGGGCGCGCAGGCGGUUUGGUAAGUCAGAUGUGAAAGCCCACGGCUCAACCGUGGAAGUGCAUUUGAAACUGCCAGACUUGAGUACCAGAGGGGAAAGUGGAAUUCCCGGUGUAGAGGUGAAAUUCGUAGAUAUCGGGAGGAAUACCGGUGGCGAAGGCGACUUUCUGGCUGGAUACUGACGCUGAGGCGCGAAAGCGUUGGGAGCAAACAGGAUUAGAAACCCUAGUAGUCC